rnacentral:rRNA from 1 species
AUUGAACGCUGGCGGCAGGCCUAACACAUGCAAGUCGAGCGGAUGAAGGGAGCUUGCUCCUGGAUUCAGCGGCGGACGGGUGAGUAAUGCCUAGGAAUCUGCCUGGUAGUGGGGGAUAACGUCCGGAAACGGGCGCUAAUACCGCAUACGUCCUGAGGGAGAAAGUGGGGGAUCUUCGGACCUCACGCUAUCAGAUGAGCCUAGGUCGGAUUAGCUAGUUGGUGGGGUAAAGGCCUACCAAGGCGACGAUCCGUAACUGGUCUGAGAGGAUGAUCAGUCACACUGGGAAACAGAGACCCGGCCCACACCCACGGGAGGCGGAAGUGGGGGAAAUUGGAGAAAGGGCGAAAACCCGUUCCCGCCCCACCGCGGGUGUGGGGAAAGUCUUUUCGUUUUAAAACGCUUUUAAUUUGGGGGAAGGGGAGUAAAUUUAAACCCUUUUCUUUUUAGGCUUCACACAGAAAAAACACCCCGGAACUUUGC